rnacentral:lncRNA from 1 species
GCAGCGCGGCUCUCGGGGGGCGGCCGGACCCGCCGGCGGACGAGGCGGGGGAGGGAGGGAGGGCGGGCUGAGGAGGCGGCGGCGGCGAUGCGAGCGGAGAGCUGAGGCUGCGGGAGGCGGCCGCCGUCGAACGCCCCCCGGCCCCCGCCGAGCGCCGCGGGGGAGGGCUCUCCCCUCCGGCCGCCCGCCCUCCCUCCCGCCCCGGCCCGCGUCCCCGCCGGGCGCUGUUGGAUGCCGCACACCGCCUAGAGGGGGCCGCAGCCCGGCGUCCUCCACAGCGGCCCCGGGCCCACCCCGGCCCUCCCGCCUCCCUGCCCCGCCGCCCGGGGCAGGAGCCAGGUCCUGCCUGCGUGCCCGGGUCGCCUGCGCCGACUGAGGAGGGGACGUGGAAGCUGCUGCCUCCGAUAUUGACACCGGUUUUGCAUCUUGAAGAUCUCCGGCAGGCUGCUCUUGGUGCUGCUGCUCUUUUUUUUUUUUUUUUCUUUUUCUUUCUUUUUUUUUUUAAAGUUGAUUUGAAGCCAUUUAGGGUAACAUCAAAAUGUCCAGCAGCGUUCCAGCUGAUAUGUUAAUCUCUUCACUUGCUGCCGGCUCAACAGCGAGAGAGAAAUCUUCAUGCGCUUUAUUUUCAUGGCGAGGUCCUUUGUGCACUAGCUGCAAUCUGGACAUUUUUCAAGGGCACUCCUAGUACUUCUUAUGGCGGACUGUACUUCAGCUUGUAUUGGAUACUCGGCUCGAUGCAUUUAAAAUAGGAAGAUAUAACAGAGCGUGAAGAG